UUUACAUUGUGAAAAUGCUCAGGGGGCAAUACUGACAUUUAAAAAAUGAACUGUUCUCUAACAAUUUUAUUUUCAUUGUCACAAUUAUCAUUUUAAACUGAAUGAAGCUGAUACAAAUCUGAAGCUCAUGUUCAUUUUAAACAUGACUUAUUAUGAAAUGAAGUUUAAAGCAAAUCUUUGUUGACACUGAGCCAAUGUCAACAAAGAUUUGACACACACUCAACAUGCAGCAUCUCUUCCCACCCGUGUUCAUACUGUGUGCACAACACGUCAUUUACUUCAUAAAGUCUGUGAGUCUGAGAUCAGAAACUUUCUUACUGUUUUUAUCUCCAAGUAUUAUUCCAGGCAGGAGACAGAGGAGAGACCAGGACAGAGCUGCAACAUCCAUGAUGACAACUCCGACAAAGUCCUUAACCCGAGAAGAUGAACUUCAGUUCGAGUUCGUUAAAGUCCGUCAGAUAUUUGAAGUUAAAUGUCGAACAAACAGUGAAGCUCUUGAAUGAACUUGUACCAGACAUUGAAAUCAGAAAGUCGUCAGGAUGUAACACCAGGCUGAAGAGUUCACCGGGAGAACGACAAAGCAGGAUAGUCAGAGGCAGGCGAGACUGUGGACGAGAGAGGCAUAAAUAGUGAAAGUAGGAGGUUCACCCAAGGACUCAGAUGUGAUGUGUAUGGUGUUGACGGAACUCAUUCAUGCUUCACCGAGGAGAGAAACUGUUUUAACCAAAGAUUUUGUUGUUAAACCAAAGACGGUAAGUUAUAAUUUUAUUGAUACUAUAAAGUUCCUGUUAAUGCUGGACAGAUGUAACGUUUCAGAUCUGACAGCAGAGGGAGCUGGUUUUCAAAGUAAAAGGGUCAAAUCUGUUCCACCAACGUUUAACCGAGAAAUGAGUCCGGGUUCUUCUGGGUUCAUUUAAUUUGAGAACUCUGCUCUGAGCUGAUCACGCUAACUGUCUGAAGUGAUCUUUGUGUGUUUGCUUUCAUUUAUAUUGAUGAAGUUUGGAUAAAGUCGUAACAUUAUUAGCUUGUUUCUUCUUCAUCAGUUCAGCUGGAUCUGUCGUCUGUUAUCAUGGACAGCUGAAGACAGACAGACAGACAGACAGACAGACAGGAACUCAACAAAACCCACAGAAGUGAUCUUUUUGGGGUGAACUGUCCCUUUAAAUGACCAUUGAGUCAUCAUCAUGGACAUGAAAUGAGCUUAACAAAGGUUUAUUGAAGAGCUUUUGUGCAAAUGUACAGACUGGAAACAGUUACACGUUUGUAGUAAACGGGCGAAUAUAUGCAAAACCAGCAGUAGAGUCCUUAAAACAGGGCUUCAUCAGCCCACGAGGACCUCGAAGACCUCGAAGACCUCGAGGAUCGGCGUGAGAAGACAGUCCGGCGGUCAUCUUUGUUGUCCCAGAGUGUCGAGGAACGUCAGCUCGUGCUACAUGAUCAUCUACGACUAA